rnacentral:rRNA from 1 species
GAUCAUGGCUCAGGAUGAACGCUAGCUACAGGCUUAACACAUGCAAGUCGAGGGGUAGCAGGGUAGCAAUACCGCUGACGACCGGCGCACGGGUGAGUAACACGUAUCCAACCUUCCCAUAACUCGAGGGAUAGCCUUUACGAAAGAAAGAUUAAUACCUGAUAGUACUUUUUCAAGGCAUCUUGAGAAAGUUAAAGAUUUAUUGGUUAUGGAUGGGGAUGCGUUCCAUUAGAUAGUUGGUGAGGUAACGGCUCACCAAGUCUUCGAUGGAUAGGGGUUCUGAGAGGAAGGUCCCCCACAUUGGUACUGAGACACGGACCAAACUCCUACGGGAGGCAGCAGUGAGGAAUAUUGGUCAAUGGGCGAGAGCCUGAACCAGCCAAGUAGCGUGAAGGAAUGAAGGUCCUAUGGAUUGUAAACUUCUUUUAUAGUAGAAUAAAGUGAUCCACGUGUGGAUUUUUGUAUGUAUACUAUGAAUAAGGAUCGGCUAACUCCGUGCCAGCCGCCGC